AAAAAAAAACCAAAAAAAAAAAAAAAAAACCAAAAAAAAAAAAAAAAAACUGUUCUCAGAAAACAACAAGAGACAGAUAAUAUUGAUUUUAACAGAUUUUUGGAUUUUCCAUGAGGGUAAGUGAAGUAAACAAAUAAGAUUUGGACAUAUAAAUGAUAUUAAAUAACAAGAAGGUAAGGUUCCUUUUAAUCUCUGAUGGAUGAACAAAUAAUGAUGAUAAUAAGUGGGAAUUGAGAGAGGUUUUUACAGCUUUUUCUUUGGGGUUUGAAGUAAUAAUGAAGGUGGCAAGCUAAUGAAAUGGGGGGAAGUGAUUUACAGUGGACAUAGAUAUUGGAGUAAUUAUAAAAGCUAAGCCAAUCCAGAUUCCUUUUUGGCAUAAGGAAUUUCCUUUUAGUCGGUUAAUGUCACCUUCCUCUUUUUUUUUCUUUUUUUUU
rnacentral:lncRNA from 1 species